AGUCUUAUAGUUUAUUAAAACAAUAAAUUGCAAAUUUAUUAUAGAAUUAAAAAUUCUAAGACUU
rnacentral:tRNA from 1 species